rnacentral:rRNA from 1 species
AACGAACGCUGGCGGCAUGCCUAACACAUGCAAGUCGAACGAGACCUUCGGGUCUAGUGGCGCACGGGUGCGUACCGCGUGGGAACCUGCCCUUAGGUUCGGAAUAACUCCCCGAAAGGGGUGCUAAUACCGGAUAAUGUCUUAGGACCAAAGAUCUAUCGCCUUUGGAUGGGCCCGCGUUGGAUUAGCUAGUUGGUAGGGUACAAGCCUACCAAGGCGACGAUCCAUAGCUGGUCUGAGAGGAUGAUCAGCCACACUGGGACUGAGACACGGCCCAGACUCCGACGGGAGGGAGCAGUGGGGAAUAUAGUACGAGGGGCGAAAGCCUGAUCCAGCAAUGCCGCGGGAGUGAUGAAGGCCUUAGGGUUGUAAAGCUCUUUUACCCGAGAUGAUAAUGACAGUACCGGGAGAAUAAGCACCGGCUAACUCCGUG